rnacentral:misc_RNA from 1 species
CCUCUGUCGUGAGCCGCCAGACAAACCAAAGGAAUCAUCUCUUUAACCGCGGUUCUGCUGCUCUCUUUGGUUCUUCUCUGAUUUUCCUCUUUAUCUAGAGCACUUGUGACGCCAUGAGCAGCUACGAAAUUCAGCCCAUCGUGAAGGGCACCAAGAGGGACCCGUCCCUGCGCAAGUACAACAAGGCCGCCGGGGCCGGUCCCUUUGGCGCCGCUCCCGCCAGCUUCAGGACCAAGAAGCCUGCGCCAGCUCAGAGUGCCGCGGCGCCGCCCAGAGAGGCGGUUGACGCGAAUACGGCGGUUAAUGCUGUGCGCUUCCCCUACACCGGGACGAAGCGUGGCUACGGCGGCGCGAGCAGCUCUCUGCGCAAAGGUCGCCCACGUGACGCCCCGGACGCGGCCUUUUCUGAGAAGGGAUGCGGCAAGAGCGCGCCGCCCAAGGCCGGCGCCUUCAAGAAGCGCCUCAUCCCACCAACCGAGUUUCGCCGCGCGUACGACCGCGGCGAUCUGCCCAUCGCCAUCUGCCAUGGCAGCCGCCCCACCGUAGACUGGAAGGUGGAGGUGGAGAAGCUGGACUACCAUCACUACCUCCCCAUCUUCUUUGACGGCAUCCGUGAGACGGAGGAGCCAUACAUGUUCCUGGCUCGCCAGGGCUGCCUUGACCUGCUCGAGCGGGGCGGGCCCAAGAUUCUGCCCACCAUCCCGCAGCUGAUCAUCCCCAUCAAGACGGCGCUGAACACACGCCAUCCGGACAUCAUUUGCGCAACCCUCCGCAUUCUUCAGCAGCUCGUCGUCAGCGACGACCUCAUAGGCGAGGCCCUUGUGCCUUACUACCGCCAGAUCCUGCCGGUGUUGAACCUCUUCAAGAAUGUCCACAAGAGGCGCAGCCGCAGCGACGCUAUGGACUACGGUCAGCGCAACCGCGAUGACGUGGGCGACUUGGUGAACGAGACGCUGCAGCUUUUAGAGCAGCACGGUGGCGAGGAUGCGUACAUCAACAUCAAGUACAUGGUGCCUAGCUAUGAGAGUUGCAUCUACAACAACUGACGAAUAGAGGCUGUGCUGACAUCGGCGGUAAGUCCGUCGGUGCGCGUGUGAUGCGGAGCGGCUUGCCUGCUUGUGGGGCUCAAUCAAGUUUUUGCUUGAAUUGGUUGUGUGUUGCUCCACAUCCGUGUGUGUACACUUGUCUUUCUCUCCUUUUGCCCUUCCCUCCCCCAUCCCCUCUACUGAGUCGAGUGUCUCGGGUAUACGUGUAUGGGUGCGUGCAUGCAUGCGUGGGUGUGCACCGCUUCCCAGCCUCUACUCGCGUCUGAGCCACGCUUUGUGUUACAUUGUGUGUGUGCGUAACUGGGUAGUGGUGGUGGCGGUGGUGGUGAGGCGUCUGCGGGAGACACAGCCCCUCUCUCCACCCUCCCUCCGGAUGUAUGACAAAGCUCUUUCUUCUCUUGUGUCCUGGCCGGCUGCGCCUUGUGUCUCCCUCUUUCAUAUUGUCUUGCCCCUUCCAUGUAGUUACGACAAGGCGAAGAAUGACAGCGGUUAUCCGCGCGCACACACACACACACACACACCCUCCUUGCGUGGAGGAUCAGAGCAGCAACGGGGACACUUUGCCGUAACAGCAGGAAUAGGAGCAAACGUGAGCGCCCACUAGUUCACAUGCUUCCACCGCGGGAAAGCUGGGCUGCGGCGGCCUUUUGGCAGAGGCACAUCUUCGACGCUGCGCGCA